rnacentral:rRNA from 1 species
AGAGUUUGAUCCUGGCUCAGGAUGAACGCUAGCUACAGGCUUAACACAUGCAAGUCGAGGGGAAACGGCAUUGAGUGCUUGCACUCUUUGGACGUCGACCGGCGCACGGGUGAGUAACGCGUAUCCAACCUUCCCAUUACUGUGGGAUAACCUGCCGAAAGGCAGACUAAUACCGCAUAGUCUUCGAUGACGGCAUCAGAUUUGAAGUAAAGAUUUAUCGGUAAUGGAUGGGGAUGCGUCUGAUUAGCUUGUUGGCGGGGUAACGGCCCACCAAGGCGACGAUCAGUAGGGGUUCUGAGAGGAAGGUCCCCCACAUUGGAACUGAGACACGGUCCAAACUCCUACGGGAGGCAGCAGUGAGGAAUAUUGGUCAAUGGACGGAAGUCUGAACCAGCCAAGUAGCGUGCAGGAUGACGGCCCUAUGGGUUGUAAACUGCUUUUAUGCGGGGAUAAAGUGAGGGACGUGUCCUUCAUUGCAGGUACCGCAUGAAUAAGGACCGGCUAAUUCCGUGCCAGCAGCCGCGGUAAUACGGAAGGUCCAGGCGUUAUCCGGAUUUAUUGGGUUUAAAGGGAGCGUAGGCUGGAUAUUAAGUGUGUUGUGAAAUGUAGACGCUCAACGUCUGACUUGCAGCGCAUACUGGUUUCCUUGAGUACGCACAACGUUGGCGGAAUUCGUCGUGUAGCGGUGAAAUGCUUAGAUAUGACGAAGAACUCCGAUUGCGAAGGCAGCUGACGGGAGCGCAACUGACGCUUAAGCUCGAAGGUGCGGGUAUCAAACAGGAUUAGAUACCCUGGUAGUCCGCACAGUAAACGAUGGAUGCCCGCUGUUGGUACCUGGUAUCAGCGGCUAAGCGAAAGCAUUAAGCAUCCCACCUGGGGAGUACGCCGGCAACGGUGAAACUCAAAGGAAUUGACGGGGGCCCG